CAAUAAAUUCGUUUUUUCAAAGAACGGAUCUGAGUUUUCCAAAUUCUAAAUUUGGUAACUUGAAAUUUAUCUUAACGAUAUCUUUGGUAUGAUAUUGAAAAUGGUUAUAUUCUUGCAUCUCGCGAGUUUCAUUAACAAUUGAUUACCUGUCGUUACGUCGUAUCAUUUGCCUAAUCCUUUUUGAUUGGGUCAUGUGAUACAAAUUUUCU
rnacentral:misc_RNA from 1 species